rnacentral:rRNA from 1 species
UUAUGCUUUUGGAGCGGCCGAUGUCUGAUUAGCUAGUUGGUAAGGUAAUGGCCUACCAAGGCAACGAUCAGUAGUUGGCCUGAGAGGACGGCCAGCCACACUGGGACUGAGACACGGCCCAGACUCCUACGGGAGGCAGCAGUGGGGAAUUUUGGACAAUGGGCGCAAGCCUGAUCCAGCAAUGCCGCGUGAGUGAAGAAGGCCUUCGGGUUGUAAAGCUCUUUCAGUUGAGAAGAAAAAGUCGUGACUAAUAAUCAUGAUUCAUGACGGUAUCAACAGAAGAAGCACCGGCUAACUACGUGCCAGCAGCCGCGGUAAUACGUAGGGUGCAAGCGUUAAUCGGAAUUACUGGGCGUAAAGGGUGCGCAGGCGGUUCUGUAAGUCAGAUGUGAAAUCCCCGGGCUUAACCUGGGAACUGCGUUUGAAACUACAAAGC